AGGAAAGUGGCGGACGGGUGAGUAACGCGUGAGCAACCUACCUUGUACAAAGGGAUAGCCUCGGGAAACCGGGAUUAAUACCAUAUGAGACCCCAAUAACGAGUGUUAAAGAGGUUAAAGAUUUAUCGGUAUAAGAUGGGCUCGCGUCUGAUUAGCUAGUUGGAGGGAUAAAAGCCCCCCAAGGCGACGAUCAGUAACCGGCUUGAGAGAGUGAACGGUCACAUUGGAACUGAGACACGGUCCAAACUCCUACGGGAGGCAGCAGUGGGGAAUAUUGCGCAAUGGGCGAAAGCCUGACGCAGCAACGCCGUGUGAGGGAUGAAGGUUCUCGGAUCGUAAACCUCUGUCAGAAGGGAAGAACGGUUAUAGGUCUAACAGGCCUGUAAAUUGACGGUACCUUCAAAGGAAGCACCGGCUAACUCCGUGCCAGCAGCCGCGGUAAUACGGAGGGUGCAAGCGUUAUUCGGAAUUACUGGGCGUAAAGCGCGCGUAGGCGGCUUUGUAAGUCAGGGGUGAAAUCCCACGGCUCAACCGUGGAACUGCCUUUGAAACUGCGAGGCUUGAAUCCUGGAGAGGGUGGCGGAAUUCCUGGUGUAGGAGUGAAAUCCGUAGAUAUCAGGAGGAACACCGGUGGCGAAGGCGGCCACCUGGACAGGUAUUGACGCUGAGGUGCGAAAGUGUGGGGAGCAAACAGGAUUAGAUACCCUGGUAGUCCACACUGUAAACGAUAAAAGUAGGUGUCGGGGACUUGAUCUUCGGGGCCGUAGUUAACGCAUUAAGUAUCCCGCCGGGGGAGUACGGUCGCAAGGCUGAAACUCAAAGAAAUUGACGGGGGCCCGCACAAGCGGUGGAGUAUGUGGUUUAAUUCGAUGCAACGCGAAGAACCUUACCUGGGCUUGACAUCCUAGGAAUCCUGCAGAGAUGCGGGAGUGCCCUUCGGGGAAUCUAGAGACAGAUGCUGCAUGGCUGUCGCCAGCUCGUGCCGUGAGGUGUUGGGUUAAGUCCCGCAACGAGCGCAACCCCUAUCCUCAGUUGCCAGCACAUAAUGGUGGGCACUCUGUGGAGACUGCCCGGGUUAACCGGGAGGAAGGUGGGGAUGACGUCAAGUCUUCAUGGCCCUUACGCCCAGGGCUACACACGUACUACAAUGGUGGGUACAAAGGGCAGCGAAGCCGCGAGGUGAAGCGAAUCUCAGAAAACCCAUCAUAGUCCGGAUUGCAGUCUGCAACUCGACUGCAUGAAGUUGGAAUCGCUAGUAAUCCUGGAUCAGCAUGCCAGGGUGAAUACGUUCCCGGGCCUUGCACAAACCGCCCGUCA
rnacentral:rRNA from 1 species